rnacentral:rRNA from 1 species
UGGGGAAUUUUGGACAAUGGGGGCAACCUGAUCCAGCAAUGCCGCGUGUGUGAAGAAGGCCUUCGGGUUGUAAAGCACUUUUGUCCGGAAAGAAAACGUCGUGGUUAAUACCCGUGGCGGCUGACGGUACCGGAAGAAUAAGCACCGGCUAACUACGUGCCAGCAGCCGCGGUAAUACGUAGGGUGCAAGCGUUAAUCGGAAUUACUGGGCGUAAAGCGUGCGCAGGCGGUCCGCUAAGACAGAUGUGAAAUCCCCGGGCUUAACCUGGGAACUGCAUUUGUGACUGGCGGGCUAGAGUAUGGCAGAGGGGGGUAGAAUUCCACGUNUAGGCAGUGAAAUGCGUAGAGAUGUGGAGGAAUACCGAUGGCGAAGGCAGCCCCCUGGGCCAAUACUGACGCU